rnacentral:rRNA from 1 species
UACGAAGGGUGCAAGCGUUACUCGGAAUUACUGGGCGUAAAGCGUGCGUAGGUGGUUCGUUAAGUCGGAUGUGAAAGCCCCGGGCUCAACCUGGGAAUUGCAUUCGAGACUGAAUAGCUAGGGUACGGUAGAGGGAAGUGGAAUUUCCGGUGUAGCGGUGAAAUGCGUAGAUAUCGGAAGGAACAUCAGUGGCGAAAGCGACUUCCUGGACCAGUACCGACGUUCAGGCACGAAAGCGUGGGGAGCAAACAGG